rnacentral:rRNA from 1 species
CCUACGGGAGGCAGCAGUGAGGAAUAUUGGUCAAUGGGCGGAAGCCUGAACCAGCCAAGUCGCGUGAGGGAUUAAGGCCCUGCGGGUCGUAAACCUCUUUUGCCGGGGAGCAGUGGUCCGGACGCGUCCGGACCGGGAGAGUACCCGGAGAAAAAGCAUCGGCUAACUCCGUGCCAGCAGCCGCGGUAAUACGGAGGAUGCGAGCGUUAUCCGGAUUUAUUGGGUUUAAAGGGUGCGUAGGCGGGCAUUUAAGCCGGCGGUAAAAUGUCGGGGCUCAACCCCGGCCUGCCGUCGGAACUGGGUGCCUUGAGUGGGCGAGAAGUAUGCGGAAUGCGUGGUGUAGCGGUGAAAGGCAUAGAUAUCACGCAGAACCACGAUUGCGAAGGCAGCAUACCGGCGCCCUACUGACGCUGAGGCACGAAAGUGCGGGUAUCGAACAGGAUUAGAUACCCGAGUAGUC